rnacentral:snRNA from 1 species
GAACAUUUCCUCUUAUAGUAUUUGUCUAGUAGGUUUCCUCAAGGGGAAAGCACCCAC